rnacentral:rRNA from 1 species
UGUUGGCCGGGCGACGGUUGUCCCGGUUUAAGCGUGUAGGCUGGUUUUCCAGGCAAAUCCGGAAAAUCAAGGCUGAGGCGUGAUGACGAGGCACUACGGUGCUGAAGCAACAAAUGCCCUGCUUCCAGGAAAAGCCUCUAAGCAUCAGGUAACAUCAAAUCGUACCCCAAACCGACACAGGUGGUCAGGUAGAGAAUACCAAGGCGCUUGAGAGAACUCGGGUGAAGGAACUAGGCAAAAUGGUGCCGUAACUUCGGGAGAAGGCACGCUGACACGUAGGUGAAGUGAUUUACUCAUGGAGCUGAAGUCAGUCGAAGAUACCAGCUGGCUGCAACUGUUUAUUAAAAACACAGCACUGUGCAAACACGAAAGUGGACGUAUACGGUGUGACGCCUGCCCGGUGCCGGAAGGUUAAUUGAUGGGGUCAGCGCAAGCGAAGCUCCUGAUCGAAGCCCCGGUAAACGGCGGCCGUAACUAUAACGGUCCUAAGGUAGCGAAAUUCCUUGUCGGGUAAGUUCCGACCUGCACGAAUGGCGUAAUGAUGGCCAGGCUGUCUCCACCCGAGACUCAGUGAAAUUGAACUCGCUGUGAAGAUGCAGUGUACCCGCGGCAAGACGGAAAGACCCCGUGAACCUUUACUAUAGCUUGACACUGAACAUUGAGCCUUGAUGUGUAGGAUAGGUGGGAGGCUUUGAAGUGUGGACGCCAGUCUGCAUGGAGCCGACCUUGAAAUACCACCCUUUAAUGUUUGAUGUUCUAACGUGGACCCGUGAUCCGGGUUGCGGACAGUGUCUGGUGGGUAGUUUGACUGGGGCGGUCUCCUCCUAAAGAGUAACGGAGGAGCACGAAGGUUGGCUAAUCCUGGUCGGACAUCAGGAGGUUAGUGCAAUGGCAUAAGCCAGCUUGACUGCGAGCGUGACGGCGCGAGCAGGUGCGAAAGCAGGUCAUAGUGAUCCGGUGGUUCUGAAUGGAAGGGCCAUCGCUCAACGGAUAAAAGGUACUCCGGGGAUAACAGGCUGAUACCGCCCAAGAGUUCAUAUCGACGGCGGUGUUUGGCACCUCGAUGUCGGCUCAUCACAUCCUGGGGCUGAAGUAGGUCCCAAGGGUAUGGCUGUUCGCCAUUUAAAGUGGUACGCGAGCUGGGUUUAGAACGUCGUGAGACAGUUCGGUCCCUAUCUGCCGUGGGCGCUGGAGAACUGAGGGGGGCUGCUCCUAGUACGAGAGGACCGGAGUGGACGCAUCACUGGUGUUCGGGUUGUCAUGCCAAUGGCACUGCCCGGUAGCUAAAUGCGGAAGAGAUAAGUGCUGAAAGCAUCUAAGCACGAAACUUGCCCCGAGAUGAGUUCUCCCUGAGACUUAGAGUCUCCUGAAGGAACGUUGAAGACGACGACGUUGAUAGGCCGGGUGUGUAAGCGCAGCGAUGCGUUGAGCUAACCGGUACUAAUGAACCGUGAGGCUUAACCUUACAACGCCGAAG